rnacentral:lncRNA from 1 species
UACUCUUCUCUCUACCCCCUCCUUCUGGCCACCCAUAUUCUUCCCCACCACCCUCAAAACCUCCCUUAUCCCCAGUUUUCCGGUUAACCUUCAACCGAAAAACUCAUCCCCAGGAACCCUAAUACAAACCCUACCCAUAAAUCCCAACAACAAAGAACCCUAACCCCCCCCCCCCCACCAAACAUGAACCCUAACCUAAGAAGGAUGAACCUUAACCCUGAACCUUGACCCUUAACCCAGAUCUUCAUCUUCAACCUCUGAAACCUAAUCCCAUAAACCCAGAAACAACCUUAUACUCUUCCAAAACCUCUCAAACAUACCCUAAACCAUAAAUGCAUUCAUUUUGAACCCUAAUUCAACCUUAAUCAACCAAACAUAUUCAAAAUCCAAAAUUCCCGAGUCUAAUAUGUGAACCCCCAAACCUCAUUCAAAAUCAUGCAUAUAUGACAUAAACAAUAUAUAGUAUGCAAGCAAAUGAAUUGAAACAUCAAGAUAAACACAAAAGGAGGAAAAAGGGGAUUAACGGCCAACCUAUAGAGAGAGGUGAAUUUCUCUGGUCAACAAGGUAACAAUCUUUAAGCUUUUCCUCUUUUCCUUUUAAUUUGUCUGCCCUAACUCCUUCUCUUAUUCCCUUUAACUCCUUCUUUUUCUCUGCGCGAGGUAUUGUGGGAACUGGUAUGAAGGUUAAACUCAAGAGCUUAGGGAUUCAAAGUGAAGAACCCUAAGUAUUUCGAGGCAUAGCUCUGGUGUGCUUGGUUUGGUUGGUAGCAAUAGUCACUUAGGGUUCUUUUUUCGUCCCUAAUCCAAUUUUAGCAUUAGGUUUAUAUAGAUUAAUUUUUAGGUUCUUAAGUUUAAGUUUAAUUCUGAUUGUCAUUUUUUAGAGAAUUAGGAUUUGUAUUGUGUUAGAAAUAGAAAUUAGGUUUUCGAAUUUUUCUGAAAAUAGAUUUAGAUUUGAAAUGUAACAGAUUAUUUGUGAUGUAUGUAGUAUGGAUUCAAUUUGUAAUCCGUGAUUCCAAUAAAAAUGGAAAGUUUG